ACGGAGGGUGCAAGCGUUAUCCGGAUUCACUGGGUUUAAAGGGUGCGUAGGCGGGUUGGUAAGUCCGUGGUGAAAUCUCCAAGCUUAACUUGGAAACUGCCGUGGAUACUAUCAAUCUUGAAUAUAGUGGAGGUGAGCGGAAUAUGUCAUGUAGCGGUGAAAUGCUUAGAUAUGACAUAGAACACCCAUUGCGAAGGCAGCUCGCUACACUAUUAUUGACGCUGAGGCACGAAAGCGUGGGGAUCAAACAGGAUUAGAUACCCUGGUAGUCCACGCCCUAAACGAUGAUUACUCGACAUCAGCGAUACACUGUUGGUGUCUGAGCGAAAGCAUUAAGUAAUCCACCUGGGAAGUACGACCGCAAGGUUG
rnacentral:rRNA from 1 species